CGCGUAGGUGGUCAGGUAAGGGUGUGGUGAAAGUCCGGGGCUCAACCCCGGAUCUGCCGUGCCGACUGCUUGACUGGAGCAUUGCAGAGGCAGAUGGAAUUCCGGGUGUAGCGGUGGAAUGCGUAGAGAUCCGGAAGAAGACCGGUGGCGAAGGCGAUCUGCUGGGCAAUGGCUGACACUGAGGCGCGACAGCGUGGGGAGCAAACAGGAUUAGAUACCCUGGUAGUCCACGCCGUAAACGAUGGGCACUAGGUCUCUGGGGGAGCGACCCCUUGGGGGCCGGCGCAAACGCAUGAAGUGCCCCGCCUGGGGAGUACGGCCGCAAGGCUGAA
rnacentral:rRNA from 1 species